rnacentral:rRNA from 1 species
CACGUAGGGGGCAAGCGUUGUCCGGAUUUAUUGGGCGUAAAGAGCUCGUAGGCGGUUCAGUAAGUCGGGUGUGAAACCUCCAGGCUCAACCUGGAGACGCCACCCGAUACUGCUGUGACUAGAGUCCAGUAGGGGAGCGUGGAAUUCCUGGUGUAGCGGUGAAAUGCGCAGAUAUCAGGAGGAACACCAGUGGCGAAGGCGGCGCUCUGGGCUGGAACUGACGCUGAGGAGCGAAAGCGUGGGGAGCGAACAGG